rnacentral:rRNA from 1 species
CUAGAGUGAUGGGCUCCGAAGCUAACGCGAUAAAUCGACCGCCUGGGGAGUACGGCCGCAAGGUUAAAACUCAAAUGAAUUGACGGGGGCCCGCACAAGCGGUGGAGCAUGUGGUUUAAUUCGAUGCAACGCGAAGAACCUUACCUGGUCUUGACAUCCAUAGAAUUCUGCAGAGAUGUGGGAGUGCCUUCGGGAACUAUGAGACAGGUGCUGCAUGGCUGUCGUCAGCUCGUGUUGUGAAAUGUUGGGUUAAGUCCCGCAACGAGCGCAACCCUUAUUCUUUGUUGCCAGCGAUUUGGUCGGGAACUCAAAGGAGACUGCCGUUGAUAAAGCGGAGGAAGGUGGGGACGACGUCAAGUCAUCAUGGCCCUUACGACCAGGGCUACACACGUGCUACAAUGGCGUAUACAAAGGGAAGCGAAGGUGCGAGCUGGAGCGGAUCUCAUAAAGUACGUCUAAGUUCGGAUUGGAGUCUGCAACUCGACUCCAUGAAGUCGGAAUCGCUAGUAAUCGUAGAUCAGAAUGCUACGGUGAAUACGUUCCCGGGCCUUGUACACACCGCCCGUCACACCAUGGGAGUGGGUUGCACCAGAAGUAGAUAGCUUAACCGCGAGGGGGGCGUUUACCACGGUGUGAUUCAUGACUGGGGUGAAGUCGUAACAAGGUAACCA